GACAGAGGGUGCAAACGUUGCUCGGAAUCACUGGGCGUAAAGCGCGUGUAGGCGGGCAGAUAAGUCAGAUGUGAAAUCCCUAGGCUCAACCAAGGAACUGCAUUUGAAACUAUCAGUCUAGAGUGAUGGAGAGGGAGGCGGAAUUCUCGGUGUAGAGGUGAAAUUCGUAGAUAUCGAGAGGAACACCGGUGGCGAAGGCGGCCUCCUGGACAUCAACUGACGCUGAGACGCGAAAGCGUGGGGAGCAAAC
rnacentral:rRNA from 1 species